rnacentral:pre_miRNA from 1 species
UGGACAGAUUAUUGUAUUCGACUAUAUUCACGGCAACGGAAAGUGAAUCAAUUAACAUAAUAGACUCCU